GCAAGGGGUACAGGAGGAGGGCGUCGGAGUGGAGGGAGAAGGCCAAGGCCGCCGUGAGCGAGGGCGGCAGCUCCGACCGCAACAUCGCCGAUUUCCUCUCCAAAUAUCGCGUGGCAAAAUGAUCUCGAGCACUUUUUCAGAAUCAGACUGUUGGGGUUUGUGUUUGUGUGGUUUGAUGGUCUCUGAUGCAACACUUGAUUUGUUUUUUAGCAGAUGGCAACGGCCGAUUGUUGGCUAGCUUCAAAAAUAGUUUAAACCAUGGUGAGCUCGUUUAUUUAUCUGGUCGAGUUCUUCUUCCGAUUUCGAUCAACUCGACAGCAGCUUUGAACUAUUUGUCUGCAUUCUCCGAAAUCCUAGAACGCUGUAAAAAUAUCUCCACGUUUCUCCCAUGCAGAAAAAGACACCACGAUUUUCUGGUUUCUGUUAGUAGAUGUUUUCAGGAUAUUUUUUUCAAAUGAACUUCAGAUGAUCUUUCUCUACGAGCGGAUGGCACACAGCCGCUGCACUCCACUGUCGAAGCCGCUGCACUCCACUGUGGCAAAAUGAUCUCGAGCACUUUUUCAGAAUCAGAAUAAAAAGGUCUCGAGUUCUCUAAAGCGUGAGGGUCAUAAUCUCUAAUGCGUGUCAUGUUGCACAAUUCAGUUAAAUUAUGCAAGUGCAUACCGACAUCUUCAGAAGCAGAGAGCCUACAAAUUGGUCAUGUUGAACCAUGAAAACUAAUUUCAGUUUGAUCUCAUAUUCGGUAGCAGCAAUCGCAGGUUGUGUUAUGGAUUCACGCAUAAUGUUAUUGCUAGGAGUAGCAAAACUUUCAAGAUUAUGUGUCAUGGUAAUUUUUUGAGGGAUUUUUCAACUGACAAGACUUGCAACGAAAUUAAAAAUAAAAAUAAAACACAAACAAAAACCGAAACAAACUUGAAUAAAAACUCUAAACACAAAGACUAGGAACACUCAACUCCUCCCACACAACGACGUCAGAAAAAUGCUUGAUACUUCAUUUUAGUGACCUACAAAUGGAACAGAAAAUACCCACACAUGUUUCCCCAGAGGUGACCCUGAGUUAUCAAACCCACGAGGGAAAGGUCCCUUUGAAGCCAG
rnacentral:lncRNA from 1 species